rnacentral:lncRNA from 1 species
AGAAAAAGAAGAAGAAGCCGUCAGUUCAGCGGAAGUACUGAAUACGAAGUUCGUGGCUAGAUUUUACAUAAACUGUCGCAUUAUGAUCAUCAAUAACUGAUGUGGCUCAGUGCGGCUGUCUUUACUGUAUUUGUCGCUGUCUGUACAUAUUACAUAAACUUUAACUACGGGCAGAGAGAAGCAGAAGAAGACAGGUCUGUCCCAUACUUCACAACUUUAUGCUCUUUACACGGUUCUUUAUUAGAAGCAUGACCUCCAAUCUUCAUCGUUAUGUCAUCUGGCAGUCAGAGGGGCUGGUCGCCUACCUUCAUGCUCGGCCCUGGACGCCAGGCUCUGUCAUCCUAGAGAGCAGCAGCCCUGGGAGCCCGGGAGGAAGCAUUUUCCACCUAGAAGAGCCAGAGUACCUGACGUGGCUGUUGGGGGCGCGAGCUGUGGCAGAGCGUCUGUGUGACAGGCUGGGGGUGCGGAGGUGUGCGCUGGUCAGCAGACCACACAAAGACAGACCUGCACAGAUACGUGUCCUCCCUCUACAUGGGCUGGAUGCAGAGUGGCGCCCUCACCUGGCUGGAGAAGAGGAGCACAACGCCCAUGACCCAGGGUACUGCACCUCCAAGACUGCCCCCCGCUGGAGCAACUCCAGUCUGACCGGAAUCCAGACCAAGAUUCGAGCCAAGCUUCCCCUCCCUGAUGCUCCCCCUGAUCUGACUUUCCACGGGGAUGAUCCAGCUCAUCCCGGCCUGUUCUCACGCAUUGUCCGUGGGGAGGAGCAGCAGUGGCGGGUGUGGGAUGACAAGGGUCACGUGGCCUUUCUCACUCCAUUCCCCAACUCCCCUGGUUUUACUGUGUUGGUCCCACGUCGACCUUUGACCUCAGAUAUAUUUAGGUUAGAAAAUGAGGACUAUGAGGGACUGGUGCUGGCUGCCAGGAAGGUGUCGCAGCUCCUUGAAGACGGAUUGGGUGCCUGGGGGACGGGGCUUAUUUUUGAGGGCUUUGAGAUUGACUACGCUCACGCCAAGUUGAUACCACUGUUUGUGCCAUCAUCACCAGAGACAGAAGAUCACACCGCUAAAUCACGCUCUCCACAGUUUUACCCCACUUACCCUGGAUAUGUGACAUCAGAAGACGGACCUGAAGCCAGCCCAGACAGUCUGAAGAAUAUACACAGUCAAAUUAUACAGUCUUAAUGCUGUUACAAAAUGCUUGAUUCUUACCUUAUUACUCAUUUGCCUCAGAAGUAUAUAAACCGGGUGGCAAAGUAAAUCUAAGUGAAAUCUUUGUGUUACAUUAAAAUAGAAAUCAAAGCAAAACUAAUCUAUUUGAAAUCAAACAUCUAAUAUUUGUACAGUUAUUUAGACAUUUCUACACAUUUUAGUCAUUUAUACUAAUACUUAUAUGACUAAAAUGUAUUUGAAUCAACUUUUAUUAAUUUAUAAAUGUGUAAAUUUGACAUUAGUAAGAACACUUAAAAUUUAAGAAUUAAAAUAAAUAUUUGUUUUGUACCA